UACGUAGGGUGCAAGCGUUAAUCGGAAUUACUGGGCGUAAAGCGUGCGCAGGCGGUUUUGUAAGUCUGUCGUGAAAUCCCCCGGGCUCAACCUGGGAAUUGCGAUGGAGACUGCAAGGCUAGAAUCUGGCAGAGGGGGGGUAGAAUUCCACGUGUAGCAGUGAAAUGCGUAGAGAUGUGGAGGAACACCGAUGGCGAAGGCAGCCCCCCUGGGUCAAGAUUGACGCUCAUGCACGAAAGCGUGGGGAGCAAACAGG
rnacentral:rRNA from 1 species